rnacentral:rRNA from 1 species
CCUACGGGAGGCAGCAGUGGGGAAUUUUGGACAAUGGGCGAAAGCCUGAUCCAGCAAUGCCGCGUGAGUGAAGAAGGCCUUCGGGUUGUAAAGCUCUUUUGUCAGGGAAGAAACGGUGAGAGCUAAUAUCUUUUGCUAAUGACGGUACCUGAAGAAUAAGCACCGGCUAACUACGUGCCAGCAGCCGCGGUAAUACGUAGGGUGCAAGCGUUAAUCGGAAUUACUGGGCGUAAAGCGUGCGCAGGCGGUUUUGUAAGUCUGAUGUGAAAUCCCCGGGCUCAACCUGGGAAUUGCAUUGGAGACUGCAAGGCUAGAAUCUGGCAGAGGGGGGUAGAAUUCCACGUGUAGCAGUGAAAUGCGUAGAUAUGUGGAGGAACACCGAUGGCGAAGGCAGCCCCCUGGGUCAAGAUUGACGCUCAUGCACGAAAGCGUGGGGAGCAAACAGGAUUAGAUACCCUGGUAGUCCACGCCCUAAACGAUGUCUACUAGUUGUCGGGUCUUAAUUGACUUGGUAACGCAGCUAACGCGUGAAGUAGACCGCCUGGGGAGUACGGUCGCAAGAUUAAAACUUAAAGGAAUUGACGG